rnacentral:lncRNA from 1 species
UUAGUAAGAACUCUUUUGUUCACAAAGGUCUCAGUUGUCCCUCUGAAAUUUAAAAUUGAUCUUGGGGAAUUAAAACUUGCUGUUUUGCUCGGGACUAGCACCACAACAGCUGUAACAAAUAAGUCUGGUUUGCAAGUUUCAUUUGACAUUAUUCUGGUUUUCCUGGGAACAGCUAUGCAAAACCAUGAUUGGUUACGGUCAUAAGCUAAUAUCACUAAAUAGUGACAUUUUUGUGUAAAACUAAUAAUUAGUUUACAAAUGUAACAACGACUCUUUUUAGUAUGAAAUCAGUGAUUGAUUGUAUUGACUGGUCAGAAUGAAUGAACAUUUCUACCAUGCAUAUACUGGUUGUAUAAUGCACAUAAUUUAUGAAAUAAUGUGACUUCAAUUUUUGUUGCAUAUCAUUCAGAAUGAAGUAAUGUUAUGGUAUGAGAAUGCACAAUUUGGUAAAGGACUCACACAUGGUUUACUUUCUCUAACUUCAGGGUGCUAAAGCCACAGCAGGGACAUACAUCACCACCUCUGCCAUCUGACAGGACAAGGUCUAAGCAAAGCACCAGACCAGCUACAGCUCCUGAGAAACCACUGAAUUCCAAAAUAGGAAAGCAGGAUGCUGUAAAUCGACCAAAAACAACAGAUAAUGCACACAGAAACCCUGAAAGACUAUCAAGCCUGAGAUCAGGUGGUGGAACUCAACCUGCUAAGAGACCAGGAAGGCAAAGCCUUGGAGGAGCUGCUCAGCAGCCCAGAAUUAUAACAGCUCAACCAAGAGCAAAAAAACGGUUAAGUCUGCCAGCGAAUGCGCAGCCUAGAAUAAGAGGGUCUGGCACUACAACUGACACAGUGCAGAGGCCAAAGACAGCUUCUGAAGUGAAGAGGAGUUCCAGAUUGGCUGCCAACUUUUCUAAAUAACUUGAAUCUAUAGUCUGAAUGUGUACAUACACCUUGAGAUUUUGCACAAGGAGAAUUGUAGUUGUGUACUUAAUACUCAGAUAAACAAACUCGAACAACACAGAUAAUAUAAUAUAAAUUAUUUAAAUAAAAUAUAUUCUGUAUUUUAAAAAAAUGCUGGAAGCUACAAAUAUUUAUUAUUGCUAUAAAGUUUUCCUUCUUUCAACUGGCUUGCUUAAACCUUGUCCCAGCUGGGGAACUUAAAGUUGAAUGUUACUGGUAUGUUAAAUGCUGAAACAAGUUUUAACUGGUAAAGCUGUGUUCACAUUAAAGCUGAAACAUCCUCAGAGUAAACAUGUUUCACCUAAACAUGUUUGUUAUUGCAUUGUUCACAUCAGAUGUCAGUUUCAAACACAUUUCAUGCCUGGUAGUAUAAUUAAUGCUGUUUCAUCGUACAGGCAUUUGUCAUUAAGUUUUGCAGCAAUGUUCUCCCCCAGAUAUUCUGCUUUCUACCCAUUGCCGAUAAUUGCCAUUGCAUUUCCUCAUUGGCCCACAUUUCAACUAGACAUUUGGCCUCAUAAUAGCACCAAUUUUAGUUCUUUUGGGCACUCACCUCCUCUGCACAUCUGUCUGCCAUUUUGAACGUGUUUGGUCUGAUCAUGAGUGAAACUACCUCGCAAGGUUGUUUCAAUCAUGCUCAGAAUAAUCAUGUUUCAACCAUGAUUUGUGCAAUGCACUGUCUGAUGUGAACACUUUUCAUAACGAAACCUGUUUCAUUUGUGAUUAGACUAACCAUGUUUCGGCCUAGUGUGAACACUGCUUAAGUCUCUAGAUGGAAACUUAAUAUGUGAACAUUUGAAAGAGAGCAUUGAGCUGUAUUUCUAUUUAGUGCUACCAUGCUAGAGGGAGACUCUCUCUUCUAACUAUGGUGCUGCUUAAGGAUUUUGUGAGGCACUCUUGAUAUUGUACAAAUAACUGACAUACCUCCUAGGUAGGACCUUUUUUCCAAGGAUCAACUGAGCUUGCAUUUUUCACAAGAGGUUUUUCCAUAAGAUAACCUUUUAGUACUGUUUUGGUUUAAUAUCUGCAAGUGGUUGUUCAAUUUUCUGGUCACACAACUGGUUAAAAGCAUUAAUUUUGGAUACUCUAGUUUUUCUGUGAGCCAGGGUUAAAGAAAAUAACAUGUUCUUGUGGCUGAACAAAUUAAUGUUUCCAUUUUGUAACCUCCAAGGGUUUAAUUAUAUUGACCAGCUGUGCAGAUGAUUUUGUCAAAUUUUGACCAACUAUGGAACGUUUUCGUUAUAAGUAACUAAAAAAAAAUUUUCCCUCCUGCUGAAAAUGCUAAUGAAACCUCCCUGGUAGCCUGCCAUAGCCUUCUUCACCCAACUGCUUACACACUUGGGUUAUCCAGAAUUAGGAACAGCACAGCUAAGCUCUU